rnacentral:rRNA from 1 species
AGCUCCAAUAGCGUAUAUUAAAGUUGUUGCAGUUAAAAAGCUCGUAGUUGGAUUUCUGUGAGAGUGCCGGUGUCGGCUGAUGCUUGUACGCAGGCGCUCUUACAUCCUUCUGUUAACUGAUCUUGGCAUUUUAUUGCUGGUUCAGGGCUCAGAUAUUUUACCUUGAGAAAAUUAGAGUGUUUCAGGCAGGCUUAUGCCGGAAUACAUUAGCAUGGAAUAAUGGAACAGGACCUGUGCGUUCUUCGGGGCGCCGGUCUCCGUUAUUGGUUUCGGGGACUAAUGUAAUGAUUAAUAGGGAUAGUUGGGGGCAUUAGUAUUUAAUAGUCAGAGGUGAAAUUCUCGGAUUUGUUAAAGACUAACUUAUGCGAAAGCAUUUGCCAAGGAUGUUUUCA